AUUAUCUGUAUUUUUAAACACCUUGAAUAUAUUAUCCAAUUUUUAAUUAAUAACUCAUUACAAGUCUGAAGUGAAAAACAAUGUUAUAACUCUAUUUAGGGGGAUGAAGAAAUUUUAUUUUAAAAUUUGUGUGGGGUUUAAUGAGUAUGUAGGUUUUAUUUUAAAAGUUGACAGAGAAAAAGAAGAAAACAAAGAAGAAAAAGAAAGAAAAAAAUAAGGAUGCACGAGAAAAAAGAAAAGAAAAGAAAAGAAAGUAUUAUAUUUUUUUCCUAUCUCAAAAAGAAAAGUAGAAAAAGAAAGAAAAAAAAUACAAAAGAAGUUGAAAGUUAAAUAAUUGUUGUAAAAUUUAACCAUUAUAUUCUCCUUUCAAUUCUCU
rnacentral:lncRNA from 1 species